rnacentral:ncRNA from 2 species
CUGCAUCUCUCGGGGAGCGAAAGCUGAGACGAUCCUAGAAAUUCGAAGAUCGGACCCGUUGAACCUGCACAAGAUAAUGCUUGCGAAGGGAAGGGACGAUGCGGCUGC